rnacentral:rRNA from 1 species
CAGCCGCCGCGGGAAUACGUAGGUGGCAAGCGUUGUCCGGAAUUAUUGGGCGUAAAGGGCUCGCAGGCGGUUUCUUAAGUCUGAUGUGAAAGCCCCCGGCUCAACCGGGGAGGGUCAUUGGAAACUGGGAAACUUGAGUGCAGAAGAGGAGAGUGGAAUUCCACGUGUAGCGGUGAAAUGCGUAGAGAUGUGGAGGAACACCAGUGGCGAAGGCGACUCUCUGGUCUGUAACUGACGCUGAGGAGCGAAAGCGUGGGGAGCGAACAGGAUUAGAGACCCCCGUAGUCCCUGUUCUUAUACA